rnacentral:lncRNA from 1 species
CUGCAGGGAUGAGGACAGUUCAGUUUCAGAGCUGUAUCUCCUUGGUAUGACUGUUCCUGAUGGAUUGUGAACAGAAUUGUAUUGUGAAAUAUAUGCGCUUAUUGGAGUUGCUGUUAACUUCAUAAUUGCUCUGUAAUUACUAAAGAGAGAGAAUCUUGCGCUUCUGACAGCCAGUCUCACAGGAGGAGGAUGGCUUCUCCCACCACACACUGCCUCACAGUGCUCUUGUCCUGGCCUGACCUGACUGUCAUGAAGCUUGCUAUGGAUUUUGUACCUGCGCUCUGACUGUUGGGCUGCAUCAGAACUUCUCUGCUCAAGAGAACCCGUUUGCAUCGCAGCUGUGAGCAAGUCCAGCUUCUCUUGUGACACACAGAAAACUGUGAUUCAGCUCAGGUAGCUCUCUUCGUUACAUGAUGACAAAAGGGUGAUGUGUUGCUGGCCCGCUGGGAGGCCACCCACGGCCCUCAGUGUCCCAGCAUGUUCCUGUGCAUGUGAACAUCCCUGAGGCUGCUUCCUGGAGAUGUCUGUCACAUCACACGGGCCAGUUCCACUACGUGCCAGUGAUCCAUGCUAUGGCUUUGGUAUUUCACUUCUGCUGGACGUACUUUCCAGUGCAUCCUGGGAGCAUGCUUGUAUUGCCGUAACUGCAUCCCAUGGGCACCCCAAAUCAUUAAUCACCAGUGUGCUCUUUUCCUCUUCUGCUGGUUCCAGACGAGUUCCCAGUUCAUAGCCAGUUGGAGUUUGAUAUAUCAUCCAAUGAUUGCUCUUUGAGUCAUUGGAAGCUCCUACGAAAAGAAGAAAAACAAAUUUACAAGCUGCUGUGGUAGUGUCGUAGUCUAACUGAGCAUCCACGGCAUCAGCUGGAGAACUGUCCUGAUGGUGCUCUUGGAAUUUGGGUCAGACUACAUAAUGCUCCAAACAAGCUGUGAAGAAAGCUGCAGGAAGAUCUGAGAGGCAUCCCCAUGAGGACAGGGAUGGGUAAUUAUUUAUUUUUUUAAGCUUGCUCAAAGCCCUGCGCCUACCUGUGGCCUGACUCAAGGCUCCUGUUGGCUUUGGGGAGAGCUGGCCAAAACCAGUAUGUUGGACCCCACUUGUCAUGCUCUUGGCACUUUUGCAGAAGGAGCUGGAAGGACAGCUCACCCCAGCUUGUGUCACAACAGCAGAGAUCAUGUUUGCAUCUGCAAGAGAAGCUGCAGUCAACAACAUGGUGCCAACAGUCUCCAGGUGAAUGCAGCUGGUGUGCUUCUGUUUCACUGAACUUUUAUCUACCAUAUAAUCAUGAAUGGGAGUCCCUCUACAAAGUGGGUCUUCACCCCACUAUUUGCAUUCUAUUUCUCUGUCUAGUGGCACUGUGGCUAUUUUCUUUGCUCCCUGAACUGUCCAGCUUUUCCUUCCUUUUUCCCUUCCUAGCCCCUUCCCUCUUCAUUUCUAUUCCAGUAUGUUUUCACAAGAUGACCUACUGAAUAUUAGUAUCUGGGUAAAGACUACCUCUUUGUGUCAAACCUCUGGCUUCAUCACAACACCAUAAACCACCACUGGAAAAUAAAACAAUAAAGCAGAGGUGUAUGAGGGGUUUCUCAAGUAAGUUAUUUGUGUUGAGCACACGUACAGAUACUUAUUUUACUUUCUCUAUCAUAGAUCAGCUAGUGGGUAUUUUCUUUAGUUGAAAUAUUGGAAAAUAAACUCAGGCAGCCCUGAGAUCUGUCCCAGGUGGCACAGUCAGGGUGCAGGUGGCAUGUUAACCCACUGCUUCUCAUGGUGCAGAAGCCUGGGGCUAUCAAAGUGAAAGAGCAGGCUGUGUGAACGCCUCACCGUGGGUCAUUUUUUCUUGUCAAUGUAUAACCAGACUUAAAAUGUGGUUAGGCAAAUUCCUGCAUAAAAAGUCCUUCGGGGCUCUUUACAACUAGGGAUUUAGCUGGGACUGUACCACUGCCCAACUGCCCUUCGUGUCUGCAUUUUCCUAAGCUAUCAUCCUGGCCCUUCUCAGAGAUGGGGCUGUGAUGUGUCCUCCCAGUCACCUCUGCACACCUCAGUUCUCUGCCUUCCAUCUUCUCCCUGCCUCCCAUCUGGGCACUUCCACGCACUGCGCAACUGCCCUGCUAGCAAACCACUCCAGAGUGAACUUUGUCCUCCGCCACCUGGCAGCAAACCUCUGUGGCAUGAAUUGUCAUGGAUCUUCUGCUUCCAAUGGAAGGUUGACAACCUGUGAAGGAUAUGUCCCACAUUUUUUCCUGAAGGCUUUUUUGAGUUGGAAGGAUCUCUUCAGUUAUUUUUGUCAAAAUGGGAGUGCAUUUUCUCCAUUUUUUUUCUUUAUUCCAGGAAUUCAGUUCUUGUCCGUGUUGAGGAAUGAGGUCAAAGAGCUGGCUUUAUAGCAUGCUGGAGAGAAAAUAACUCCUACUUAAUAAACAAAUAAAUGAACAGUCCCCACUGCUCAGUAGGGUGUGAUACGAGUUCCAAAUUUACGCGUAAAACCUUUCAAACCAUGCAUGACUUUGCUAGCACUGUUGAAAGCGAAAAGCAGGCAUGGAAAAACCUAACUAACUGAAAAUGCAUUUGGAAAUGCUUUCUUAAGGAUAAGAAUCAUAAAAUGCAAACUGGAAUACAAACCCAAUUUCACAAUAUUACAUUGCAAAUUGUUUUGAUUUUGGAAGGAUGCAGAGUGCAGGCUAAGAUCAGCUGCCUGCAUAGGCCAUGUUAUAAUAAAUCACAUUGCAUUUUUCAUCCCCAGAACAAUCUCCAGUGAUACGGUACGUUCUUUAUUAAGAGUGUUCCGCAGCAAUCAGAGCUGAAGGGAAGGAAGGAAAUGGCUUGAAGAACAUGGCAAGAAUCCCUUAAAGUUAAGGGAGGGGAAUGGGGAAAGUUAUUUUAAAAGUACAGGUGGUUAGUGUAAAUUAUUGAGCACUUCAAAUGUUUUCCCUUGAUAAUUCUAAUCACCUUGUGAAAUCAGUCAUUCACGCUUUUGCAAAACUCUUGAUUUAUUGGGAGCUUUAAUCUAUUAGUUGCAGCUCGGGAGCCAACCGUGCAUUCAUCUCCAUGGGCAGAAAGAGCUGGGCUCAGCCCUGCAGCAGAACUCAGUGCUACAGCUGCUGAGCACGCACCACCAUGACAUGAACGGUGCCAACUCUGAGAGGGAUGCUGAUGCCUGGAGGCACCCCAGCUUGCUGCACCAGGGCUUGGGCCAUGGAGAUGUUCCCUCAGACUCCAAGGGUGUGGGGACCACGGGGCGGUGGCACGGGAAUGAAGGUGUUUUGAAGUGUACCUUGGACAUUAAGCCUCCACAUUGAAUGGGAGGGUUUUGUGCGACUCUUUUGUGCCAGAUGGGUCAGCCACAGAAUGGUGCUAUCAACAUAGGUUGGCUUAGCAAUAGGGAUCAGUGAUUUUGGAUGACACUUCACAGCUUCAGUCAUGAUUCCUUCCAGGCAGAGCCCUCCUCUUGCUGUUCUUCGGGCAUUGACUUUUUUCUACUGUAUUUGGGAAUUUCUCAUCAUCAUUAUUUAGGAAUAGCUCCAGUUUGCUGUGGAUGAUAAUGUUUGUUACCAAGGUGCUUGGGUGCAGCAGUAAGACCAACUGGUGCUAGCUCAACUCUUACAUAAUUAGCAAACACUGUCAAAUCUCAGUCAUCACAAUGAAUGCUAAGGUGAUUUAGGUAAAUGAGGGUUAAGAUAAACAGGUGAUAUUUUAGUGUUUAAUGCAUUAACAUCUUAAUAGCCAUUAAAUGAUUUGACCUCAUUUCUGCUAAGUGAGCAUUUAAUAAACAAGUUUUGACUGCAGUGACAUUGUGCAAAGGUCUCUGUGAGAACUUUGGGCAGACAGAGACCAUCUUUGUGACUGAACAACACUGUGCACAGUGGGGCGUUGCACUGGAUAUGGUAGCAGAGCGUGACAAGGUUUCACGUCUGGAGGCUGCCUAAGAGCAAGGGAGACUGAGCAGGCAUGCAGGAUCCCUGCUCCAUCUGGAUGACCUGCUGCCAGCUGCCAUAGUUAGUUGUAAAGUGUUCCUCAUCUCUUUCUUUUCUAUUUUCCCCUUUUUCUUUUAAUUUCGCCUCCCUUUUCUUCCUUUUUCUCUUCUCUUCUCUUCUCUUCUCUUCUCUUCUCUUCUCUUCUCUUCUCUUCUCUUCUCUUCUCUUCUCUUCUCUUCUCUUCUCUUCUCUUCUCUUCUUCUCUUCUCUUUUUUUCCCCUUAUUCUUUUUUUCUUGACUUAGUUGGACUGCCUGGGGACUUGCCAGAAACUAGGGGCCAGACCUUUUUCUGGGAGUCUUGUCUUUGGCAUCAGUGGAAAAAGGAUUUGCUCUUUAAUGCUCUAUAUUAGAACUACUCAGGCUGCUUGAAUCCUAAUUCAGCUAUUAACACUAGUUUAGGUAACAAGGAUGACAGUAAGGCAGUGGGAUAGGCAGCAGGACCAGGCCCACCUCUCACCCCACUUACCCCUCCACCUGCACUAAAUUCCCCUUGUGGCAACUGUGUGGUUCAGCGCAACACAGAGACUGUCCUGAAAGCUAUUAAACAUGAGAAUGAUGCCAGCUGAGCCUGAAGAGUGGGCACUGAGCACUCCUGGGCAGCCUGCAUCCUCCUGGCCCCAGCACGUGUUGCGCAGAAGAUGCACUCCAGCACAGCUUUCAUGAGCUCUCAAAGAGGCAUCGACUUCUUUUUUUUUUGCAUCUUAGCAAUGUAGCUGCAGACGUAAAACAUAACAGACAUUUAGAAACUGUAUGACUUUCCCUAAUUGUCUGCAACAGUUUCAAGAUAAGUCAUUUUUAAAAGAAUUGCUUUGAACAGAGAUGACUUUAAAACAGACUUCCGUACUUCUUGUUUUUGCUUCUGUCUUGGCACAGAUGCUUACCCUCUCUCCUUUGUAGAGUUAAUUAUGCAAAGGCGAAGAAGCUACACUAACGUUGUAAUUUUGUUUGGCAAGGUGAGCCACAAAACAUAUGCUGUGUCAUGCCUUUUUAUUACCGUGCAAGAAUUGCCAAAGAAGCCUAAGGAGGAAUCAAGGGCAUCAUCGUUGCGAGGAAAAGAGGAAACAGCCCAGUUUUACAACACUGAGGCUUGUAACCGCUUGCGGUAGAUAGUUUCAGAACUGGUUUAAUUUUAAAUUAUUCUUUUGCCAACCGACAGCAGCUUCAGAGUGACUUUUGUUUGAUCCUACCACUUUCUGAUCCCCGUUGAGUCAUUUUACGAUGCCCUGGCAACCAAAGUCCAACCGAUGCAGGCAGCGCCACAGCAGCAACCGCUCUGUCCUCUGUGUGGGGAGAUGGCAUCACCAAAGGUGGCUCUAGCCAGAAAAGCACUGAUCUCCUGUGCCCACGCCGGCUGCUCAAUGUGCUGCUACUAUCCCAAGGGGUGUUUUCAGUUGGAAGGGAUCAAGGAACCCGUUUGGGCUUAAAAUAACUAGGCUGAAAGAUAAGAUUAUGUUCAACUUGGUCUCUUUCCAGCCAGUUUCCUGAGAAGCUGGAGAGAUACAGAAGAAAUGUGGGUUUUGGUAUAUGACAAAUCCACACUGCGACUUCUCCCCACUGCUUUUGUUGCAAUGCCUUUGAGCUCGUGCAAAACUACGGAAAAGGCCACAGAGGGGGAGCUCAGCAGAAGGAAGCCUGGUUUCUCCACCAGAGAUGGAUCAUGUUGAAACACAAGGGUAGCCUCUUCCUUAUUGGAAGCUGGGAUAUUGCCUGUGCUGUGCAGAGAGGAGCCCACAGCAGCAGCCUUUGGGCAAUGGGACACACUUCUGGAGUUGUUAUCAUCUGCCAUCAAACACAGCCCUAGGCCCGAGGAGGGGCUUUAAUGAGCAGGGAAAACACCACAGAAGAACUGGAAAUGUUCCCCCUCAGCUAGACAAGUCCCAGGCCCUAGCUGGAUGGCACCAACUGGACUGUAUGUCUGGGCACUGCGUCCCACUCAUUUUUAAGGAAAAUUAAGCCCCACCCCGGAGAGUCUGCUCACAGCUCAGGCAGUUCUCUGCUGGACUGGGCUGCCUGGAGCCCGUGUUCUCCACAUCUGAAACCAGACGACCCCAGGAGCAAAGCUCCACGUUUCCAGUCACUGGUUCACAGCCUCUGGCAGUUCCUGCAGGAUGGCUGAAAACAGUGCCAUGGGGCUGGCAGCUUGCCCCCACAGCCAGUGCAUCCCAACCACACCUGCCUUGGACCUGGAGAAGGAAUCCUAUAAUCCCUGUGUGGUCCUUCAGCAUUACCCAGCAUCUCCAUCCCAAACAUUGCGUCUUCCUUCUCCUUCCUGCUCCAUAAUGCAACCACUUAUAUGGAAAAUGAAUCAGCCCUCCUUGGGCAUCUUUCCAAAUGCCCCUCUGACUAAUUCUGCCCAAAACAGCCAGGCUGACCCUGUGCAAUGGCGUGAUCAUGGCAGACAGGACUGGGUCACGUUUGGGUGGAGGAAGGGAAAAACUGUUUUGCAGGCCUGCCCAAAAAUCCUCAUGUUGACUCUGCCAAAACCACACCAAACAUAUGGUAAAUGAAAUAGCUGGCAUGGAGCUGCUUUGGACGGCAGGAGUGUUUCAGCACUGUGGACUGCUCUUUAGCUGUCUUGAAUGUUAUUUACACUGUUUUAAGUAUCUCCACAUUUAAGGGAGAGAAGGCAAAGAAGAGGGCGAUGCCAAUUUUUUUGUGCAUUUGAUGCUUUUUACAUGCACGUUAUUUUUAUAGCCAUGUUAGCACGGUCCCAAUGCUUGCCCUGUCCUGUGGCUGAGAACAGUAACAGCAUUGCAGAAGGUUUCCUCCCCUCUUCGUGUAGCAACAGACUUCGGUGGAAAAGCACACAGAAGCAUUUUCUCUCUCAAAACAGGAGCUGUGCCUAAUUCACCAUAUAAAUGUCCUGCACAUUUCAUGGAGCUGAUGAAAUCAUGUACAGAUGGAAUGCCUCUUAACAAAGGCUUUAUUCACAGGGCAGGUUUCUCUGCCAUGUAUCUUUGACUGUAUUCCAGCUUAUACAGCUAUUCCCAGUGAAUACAUCCAUGGAGCCAGACCAUUUUCUGGGCAGAUACCAAAGGUGGAUGUGCUCAGCUCCCAACACCGCACUGUGGCUUCACUACAAGUCUGAGGCUGGAAGUCAUGCCAAUGAGCAUUCCUUUCCUCACUCUGUAUUGUUCACCUGGACUCAAGCACCCAGUGCCAUUUCCAGGGUUUGUCAGGUACUUUGGAAGAAACACCGCAGGACAACAGAACCUGAGAAAGAGCAUCCAGAGAAGCCAGAGGUCUUCAGUCAUUUGGGAGACGGCCAUAGGAAUGGAGUUGUGGUGGCUACAGCUACAAAAGAUGGAUGAAAAUAAAGCAGCCAAAUGGUGAUGAUCAUGAAAAAAAAAUAAAAAAUAAAAAGUGACUGUUCUUGAGAUCGAGGUAUAGAUUUUUUUUCUUGGAGCUACAGUGGCAGAGUGCCAGCAGGAGAGCUCACCUCCUCACAUAGCAGCUGGCGGGCUGCUGGGCAGCUCUCCACCACCGUUUGCAUGUUUUAACCCUUCCCCAGCCCCAACUCAACCUGUAGCUUCUCCCAUUUGUCCAUAAGCCAUGGCGUCCUGACACUAUUGCACUCUUGAGGGUCCUGUGUAAAAGCAGGCAGGGGCUGCUGGCCUGCUCGCAUGCACACCUUCCCAGUGCUGAAAACUCAACUCCCAAAUCCCCUGUUCAUCCAACAACCUCAUCAUCUAGACAAGGAAAACAGCAGGCUGAUCUAUGCUGCAGAGCACACUUCCUGGCACAGUCCAGUGGUAUUUGCCCAUGAACCCUUCUCUCUGCCUUUCUUUUUUGCCCUUUGUUCAGCGCUCAGUCAGUAACUCCUUAGAAACAACUCGCUAACUGCCCACGCUCAAAACAAGAACAGCAACAACAAAAGGAAUGAUAUAGAGGGAUGACUUCAUCGAGUUUGGAAAUAUCUUCUCAAAUGAAACAUUCCUUUACUCACAUACACAAGAAAGUAUCAAAAUUCUCUGCAGCUGAUGUAAACAGCAGAAAGAAAAAGUCAUCUGGAAGGACAGGAUGAUUCAUACCAAGGACCUGACUGGCAAUAUUCAUCAGUGUUGAAAUCCUCUCUGCAAGAUGACUACAUGCGAAAGCAAAACCAACGAGAUCCCAGCUUUUGCCAUGAGAAGCAUCAUUAACGGCAGAGCAGCGUGGUUAGGCUCCUAAUGCCACAACCCUUGCUCAUGGGAGUAACCCUUGCUCACUCAUCUGACCGGUCGCAGCAAAAAGCCCUGUGUCACCCAGGUGAGAAUGCUUUACAUAAGGGCAGCCACAGCAGCAGGCUGGAUCACGCUCAGCUGUUGCAGCCUAUUUUGCAGAAGGGGCUUUGGAGCAGGAACAGAAAGUUCAAUAGCAAAAGAGAAGGGUUUUUCUCCAUCUUGCCAAAACUCCUUGCUAGGGUUUCCUCGCAGAAAUCCCUGAUUUGAGCACUUUAGGGAGAAUGGAAAGUCCAGCCAAUCUUUCCCUUUAUGUUAAUUGUGUUGAUCCAAAUGGUAACAGGGCACAAAAGGCCGCGCUGACUUUAUGCACUGUUAUGAGAUACUUUCCCCUGCAUAUCUGAAUCUGUUUACUUAAUCUUCCAGGCCUUUACCCAUGAAUAUUAAACUCCUUGAUCACUAUGCAUUAGGAGUCAUCUUUGCACCAUCUGUUUGUAUUUGUCAUCUAACCCUUGUAAAUAAUAAAAUGUACUUUGUUCUCAAGUUCGUGGAUCCUAGCAGGAGAGUGAUUACCACGGAGGAAAAGUACUGUGUGAAGCUAUUAGCAGCCACAGGACUCUCCUUUAGCUCCCUGUCUCCUGUCUGCCCUCUGUGAGACAAAUGUACCAAGUCACAGGUUCCCUAUUGUUCUCCAUAUCAUUCUAUUUCUGCUGCCAACGCAUUCACCACUAUUACGGUCAUUAAACUAAAGCCGAAAACCUACCCCAAAGAGUGACUGUUAGCCUCCUUAGUUUCCUUGUAGUCCCAGAAGAGAUGAUUUCGGGUUCACAUCUCUGAAUACGAUGCAGAAAGUCUUGCUUAUGCAUGUAAAAUGAGCUAAUAGCAGAAGAGAAGGUGAGUUGCAUUCCUGGAUGCCAGUAUUCAGCUGAGAGGUUCAACUGGGAGGUACAGCUCACAAGACGCCAAGCAAACACCAAGGGAAAAAUGCAGAAAGUGCAGUCUCUAGAAUAUAAAAUUAAUCCUUGGAGUUCUGGCUUAAAAUGUUAUGCAGCAGGAAGAGCCUUGCCACAUAUUACUGAGGUUCAGCUUCAACUUCACCAACUGAGACAAGGAGGUUUCACCUGGGAGAGAGGCCCAUAGCUGCAGGUGCUCAUGGGAAGCCACGGCCGCUGGCGGGCACACCUCACACACCAGGAUCUCCCUGCAGCCAGCAGGAGACGUGCCUGGCAGCAGGCUUAUGUCCAUUCACAUCACCCAGUGAGUUGCCUCUCCUUGCUCUUAUAAGUGAACCUGGAUGUCGGGCAACUAUCACCAGUUCUCAGGCAGCUGCAGUCUAUUUAAAACCUAAUGGAGCUGAUUAGAGAAGGGAUCAUUUAGGAGAUGAUAUGGGAUCGUAUUGUAUCUAUCUGAUGUGGUGGUAGCACCAAAUUUAGACAAGAAAAUUGUUGCCAAGUAUUUGCUUAACUGGAAGAGCUGUCUGGGCUCGGACAAGAUACCACUCGCCUCUCUGCUCAGCCUUGCAAACAUCCUACACUAGGAGGUUACCUAUUAAGUGAUACACAAUAGAUCUUUUUAAUUGUUAGAGCGUUACGACCUUAGACUUUGCCCAGGUAUUUAAUAACACCAUCUGCUGUCUAGCUCUGCAAUACUAUUAUUUUUACAUGAGGAUUACUCUUCCUGCUUCACAAACAGCGCUGUAAUAACAGAGCUAAAUAAGAGCACAGCAGCGUGGUACUUACACCCUACUGUCCAAGUAAAACACACAGGAGGUGCAGCUCACCCCAAAUUUCCAGACGCAUUGUCUCCAACCUGGAAGUCUUGAAGUGCUGCAGGCGGAGGAGCUGUGGAUCCAGUCUUGUGGGUUGCACUCAGGAAAAGCUCUCGCCUUGCCUGAGAAAGGGCCAGGAGCAAAAUCCAUCCCUGUGUAGGCUGUCUGCUCCUUGGCUGGCUCUGCUUUUCCCAUUUGCUUCCCCAGAACAACAGCAAUGGUCUGCUGGCCAUGAGCUAGGAGUCACUGUGCCUUCAGGCUUUUUUCUCAUUAAUAACACACUCUUGCAGCACACGCAUUUAGCUCCAAACAGUCAUAUUUAUCUGGUUUUAUAUCUGUAUCUAUAAAGGGUCCAAGGCAAACAGAGAUGUGACCUUUGGCACUUUCAGCUGAAAUGCCUCUGUACCAAUGCACACAUCAUGGGAAGUAAGCAGGAGGAAUUGGAAACUGUGGUGCAAUUGGAAAACUACAAUCUUAUUGCUAUCAUGGAAACACGGUGGGAUGACUCACAAGAGGAAUACCAUGAUUGAGGGCUGUAAACUUUUUAGAAGGGAUAGGCAAAUUGGAGAGGUGGGGGAGUGGCCCUCUUCUUGUUAAGAAGUGGAUAAUCUGCUGAGAGCUGCCCCUGAGAAACAGUCAGGAACAGGUUAAGAGCUUGUGGGUUAAGAUUAGGGACAGGGCCAGUAAAGGGCAUCUGGUGGUCAGGG